AACGAACGCUGGCGGCAUGCCUAACACAUGCAAGUCGAACGAAGUCUUCGGACUUAGUGGCGCACGGGUGCGUAACGCGUGGGAAUCUGCCCUUGGGUGCGGAAUAACUUCUCGAAAGGGAUGCUAAUACCGCAUAAUGUCGUAAGACCAAAGAUUUAUCGCCCAAGGAUGAGCCCGCGUAAGAUUAGCUAGUUGGUGGGGUAAAAGCCUACCAAGGCAACGAUCAGUAGCUGGUCUGAGAGGACGACCAGCCACACUGGAACUGAGACACGGUCCAGACUCCUACGGGAGGCAGCAGUGGGGAAUUUUGGACAAUGGGCGCAAGCCUGAUCCAGCAAUGCCGCGUGAGUGAAGAAGGCC
rnacentral:rRNA from 1 species